GUGGUCCGAUCCAGCUGGUUUUGACAUAUGUGCUGCGUGCAACAUAAAGAGGGACUUCUGCAAAGUUUUCUAUAAGCUACACGUCAAAAUUGAUUACUCUAGCCUUUAAAAUCUAGGAAAAAAGGCAAUUUGGAGCCUUUCCAAGUAAUCGAAGAACAGAUGGACAAGUUUCAAGAUUUACGGAUUGAAGAGGGACUGUUAUUUGAACGAACCCAGUUAAGCAGAGUAGGCAGCUGUAAACUGUGGGUUCCGAAAGCGUUGACGUCGACGCUUAUACAAGAGACGCAUGAAGGCGAGAUAGCGAUGCAUGGUGGAAUUCCGAAGACAGGCCAGAAUCAUAAUUCUAUUACUUACCCGGAUGUCAGUCCAACUCCGAGAAUAUCUCACCAAUUGCGAAACGUAUUAAAAUACAAAGCUCAUGACGUAGGUUACUCGUCCACCCAUGGGGAAGUCAACUCAGAAAAGCCAAUACAAAAAUUAUUUAUGGACUUUUUCCAAUUUAGUCUGUCCGUAAGCGAUACUAAAACCGACUAUUACGGCAGCUAUCAAAUUUUUACGUGACCUUAUAUUUAUGCAGAUCGGACUGCCGGAAAUUGUUCACAUAGACAAUGACAGACAAUUCACGUCUAUUGAGUUUGCUGAAUGCAUGAGUAAAUAUGGGAUCACUCACUAAAAAACCGCGAACCGCGUAUGUUAGAGUGAACUAGUCUGUGCUUUCAUAUUGGCCACAUCAUACCCUAUGGGACGAGCAGCUUCCCGAAAUGCAGGCAUCAUUGCGUAGCGCGACACACAGCAGUAUCGGACCAAUGUUCGGACAGCAUUUGCUUAUGACGCAGACUACAUACUGGCAAGCAGGCCUUGAGCGACACUAUGCACUCACUCAGUCUAUGAAAAAGCGAACAGACGAUACAAUUUGAAAUCCGGACACAUAGCUCAAUUUCAUCCAAAGUUCUGCCACCAAUUCGCCAAGUGCAGAGUUGUGAGGUAUUCUUGUGCAUUUGGCAACAAUACUAGAGACUGUUUUACGACCGCCAAUGGGCCAGUAUUGGAGCCGAAUCGAAGCCAAUACGGCGCGAGGUCCAGCAUGCAAAUUCCGUUUAUGAAAGUGAAUUAUUAUUGCCCGGGUCACAGGAUGCCGGCGAGGCAAUAGGACAGACAGAGGAAUAAGCCGAAGUCGUCAAAGAAUGGCGCGAGAGAGGCCAUUGAGCUAGAACUGUUUGACGGGCCUUCCUUCCAUCAGUGCCUUGUAGUCAUCGCCAAGAGUAGCCAUUUGCACUGACCGUAGCAACAGAUGUGUGCCAUGAUGCACGUGGCUGACAGUUAGCUCAGAUCCUCGGAUUCGAUUUAAAAACUUGUAAAUGUAAGCAAAGAUGCGUUGCAGCUUGGAGAACGAGUUGAUGAACCUGCAGCCAAUUGAGAGAUCAAGUUGCGUUGCAGUUCCGAGUAAUACCUUGUGUCGGAGUUGUGGCAAGGAUUCACUCUUCCUUUUCUUUUCUGAGAAAGGUCGGGCCAUGGGCCCAUAACGGAGACCUGGAAAGCGGAUUUAAUUCAGUGGGAAUAUGAUGCCAUUCCAUGCCAGUGGUGAGCUCUUGUAUGGCUACGACCCGAUUGGUAACGAAAAUAUUGAAUUUGGAAGCAUCAUUGCGAAUCCAAGCCAAAACUACAGCUGAGUCUGACCAACAGUAAUAACGACAGUUAAACACUUUCAGUUGGCAGAUUUCGCUGAGAAGUUCAGCCUAUAAUGCAGCUCCGCAGAGUUCCAGCUUUGGUACAGUGAUGGUUUUCACAGGCGCGACACGCGACUUGGAACACAAGAGACUUAGGCUUAUGUUGCCAUGGCACUAUGAAACUGUAUAGACGCAUGUCCCAUAAGCGCUCAGGCUGGCAUCACAAAAUCCGUGAAUCUCAACUGGGCUGUCUGUCUACUGGAAUCUCUGAGUCUGCUUAAAAUCAGCGCAGAAGUUGACUUAAGUGUGCAGGCAGAGAGAUCAGAGAUCAGAGAUCCUGCAUAAAAAUUUUAGAUUUUGUUAUUACAGGACCAACAAGACCAAAAACGAGCAAUUGAGGAGAGGAUUGAUCGUUUUGUCAGUCUCAAGGGUAGCCUCAGUGGACAAAAAUAAAAAAGAAAACAGUCUGAGGAGGGAUCUCAAACGAGGCUUAACGUUUUCGUGAUAUCGCUGCCAUCAUUGAACUUAAGCAAUCCUCUUUCGGUAUGUUUGACGUAUAGUAGCGUCGAUAGAACACCAUUUUCGCAGCAUAUAGUUGCCCUUGGCGAGUAGUUUGCUUCAAUAUCUCAACUGCUUCCUGAACACAGCUACCACCAGAGAUGAGAUCAUCCACGUAGAAGUCCCUUUUAAUAAUGUCAGCGCCAAUAGGAAAUGCCUUCUGCUCAUCCAUGGCCAGUUGGUGCUAGCCCGCACUGGGAGAAACAAUGCUGGUUUUGUGCCGUAGGUGAGGUGUCUAAUUUGUAAGUCUGUAUCUUCUGAUGCUGAGAAUCACGCCACAGGAAACAUUGAAGAUAGCUGUCUGCUGGUUCGACUCGUACGCAUCGAUACAUUUUGCAUAUGUCGCCUGUGAGGGCAUCAGUAUCGAAAACAGUUUCGUUUGUAUGGUAGGUAGUGGUAGUGUCCAGAGGUAGUAGCUGCUGAUCCAUCAAACACGACCCAUAGCUUAGUUGUAGUACUAUCCUCCUUCAGCACGCAGUGAUGCGGCGGAUAGUAUUUGCAUUGGCCCAGUGCAGCUAAACUAACAAGUGACAUAUGAUUUAAGUCACGAUAUUCCUUGAUAAAUGUUGUACGAAGUGCCUGUUGAUAGGAGUCACCCAGCCGAUUUAGGCUUAGUCGAAGCGGUAAGCGAACUGAAUACUCGCCAGUCGGCAGACGCUUAAAAUUGGCCUGAAAGUGUGCCUCGCAGUCACGCUCCUCCCCGUUUGGUGAUGACUCAGGCUCGGUACAAGAUUCCAGCUCCCAAAACCGACGGAUUAAUUCGUCAAUCUGUGCAUUCGUCUGCAGAUGCGAGUCUACCAGUAGAUCUGGAUUCAUCACUAAUCGCCUAGCCACGAGCAAUGAUUUUCCUGCAUGUGGAGCACCUCCAGUCGCGACCCAACCAAAGCGAGUCUUUUGCAGUAUCGGCAUUCAAGCAGCUAAUUUGAUCUGGCCAACGCAGAGCAGAUCGAAAAACAGACUGGCUCCGAUCAACAUGUCGAUUUGCUGAGAUUUGAAGAAUUCAGGAUCAGCUAGUUGUAUGUUUGACGGAAUGUUCCAUGGUGCAGGGUCAAAAGUGAAGCCAGGCUGAUUAUCGGUGAUGGAUGGUGCAAUCAAUGCUGGGAUGCAUGUGGAGUAUUCAGACACUCGAGAUUGGACAUUGAUGUUUACCGAAAAACCAUCUGACGAAAACGCUGCAUCACCAAUGCUAGAGACGAGUGCUGUGGACUUGAAUUUGCGCAGCUGGAACUGAUGAGCAAGACGAGAGGCGAUGAUGUGCAAUUGCGACCCAGAGUCGAGCAACGCACGGCAGGGCACCAACGAUCCAGCUCGAUUUUUUACAUUGAUGACGGCAGUGGCAAGUAGGACGACAUCGUGCUUAAGAGCUGGUCGAUGGAGAGUGUCGACGAUGAAACUGCCGCCAGGAUGUUUUAAGAUGACGUAUAAGUUUCGGCUUCUUGAACAUUGUGCGAGCUAGAAGCAACGCUGUGACUGCUUGUGUUGCCAAGAUGCAACAGGCUAUAAUGUUUGCUUCCACAGACUCUGCAAGUGCUGGAACCACAGACUCUCAGCUGAUGUCCCCUUUGCAGGCAAUUAAAGGCACAGCGCAAGCCGUUUGGCUUCAUGAAGCCGCAGCCAGGGCGAUAAUUUUGCGAAUUGGAGAUAUUUAUAAAUGGAGUGGCCUGCGGCUUUACAAAAUACACAUGCAUAUGUUCCAUUUGUUCCAUUCUUGGUCACCACAAACGUUCUUCUUCUACUGUUGUUCUGGCCCACCUGGGAGCCAGGCGUAUACAUUGCCGUCGCGUGAUCCGCAUUUUCCAGCCUCUGACAACGAUUUUCAAUGAAAGCUGUAAGCCACAUGAUGGUAUGACGUCCAACGGUGGAUCAUCCUCCCAGCUAGCUUGCGUGGCGCUAUCUAGUUUUUGCACCAGUGUGUGUACUAUGAUGCAGCCGGCGAUCUUUUCCACACUUCCAUCGAUUUUAACGCACGUAAAUGAGAGUUGACCUUAUCUGAGAAUUCGCGCAGUUGUGUCGUCGCACCCUUAUCCACUUUUCUUAAACCCAAAAUUUCAGCAAUAAGUGCCUGAUAAACAAGACGCAUGUUAUUAAAACGCUUAUCAAGUAGUUCUAAGGCGGCAGCAUAAUUAGCGUUUGACAUUUCCAACGAGCGAAUUGUAUCCAGCGCUGUUCCUUUGUGGCAAUACCGUAAAUGCUGAAGUUUUUCAAUGUUGGUCAAAUAUUCGAGAAGUCAGACCAUUCUGUGUAGCCUCCACUAAACUACGGCAAUUUAAGUUGAGGCAAUCGAGAGUGGUUUGGAACAACACAAGUAGAGCGCGGAACAUCGGCUGCGGCGGAAUUGAAAGUGGAGAAAUGUGGAGUCUGCUGAAUCUUGCUUCGAUUUCCGCGCUCUCGUUGAAGGGACACUCGUAGCCGCCCAAUGGUUGACUCAAAGCUUGACUGAAGAUCCUCGUCAACGCUGGCCUGAUUCACAUCCAACAAACUAUCAUAGAUUUUUCAAAUUUCGCCUGCAAGUCAGAUGCCAUGCAUAUGUAAUCUUGCAGCUCGUAGUCAUCAAUAUCGCGUAGUCGCACGGGAUCAAGUUCAGAGGACAAUCUAUUGCCUCGAUCACUUAAAUUCUCAAUCUUUACUUUAAGAACUGCAGCCUGUUUUCCAACCGCCACUUGAUAAGCAGAUGUCGCCUCAUUUUCAUUUGCACUUCAUAAAACAUUGUUAAUGUAGCGCACAACAAAGUUCACACAGCCGAACUACAAUACAAAAUUUGCGCGCACAAGUGUUUGUUUGAGCGAGAUAGCGCAAAGCCGGUUAAAGCGCGCAUCGAUUAACGUCGAUUUUGCUACGGCGUCUAUGUACAACGACAAACUGUAUGCAUAUGCACAAGCAUUGCGGUUAAGUACAGUUAUUAGAGAGACUUGGUUAAACUGAUCACUUUAUGUUGAGGCUCGCUGCACUUAACGCACAACCUUUUGUAAAUAUGCGCAAUGAAAUUAUAAAAUGAAAUUACAAAACAAAAAUGCGAACAGAAGCGAAACGAAAGAGUAAUAAAGAAAAA